GGAGGGUUGGCCGAGUGGUAAGGCAGCGGCCCGCUAAGCCGUGGUCAGGGUCAUCCCUGCGCGAGUUCGAAUCUCGCACCCUCCGC
rnacentral:tRNA from 1 species